UACGAAGGGUGCAAACGUUGCUCGGAAUCACUGGGCGUAAAGGGUGCGUAGGCGGGUCUUUUAAGUCAGGGGUGAAAUCCUGGAGCUCAACUCCAGAACUGCCUCCGAUACUGGGAGCCUUCGAGUCCGGGAGAGGUGAGUGGAACUGCGAGUGUAGAGGUGAAAUUCGUAGAUAUUCGCAAGAACACCAGUGGCGAAGGCGGCUCACUGGCCCGGUACUGACGCUGAGGUGACGAAAGCGUGGGGAGCAAACAGG
rnacentral:rRNA from 1 species